ensembl:lncRNA
GGGAACCCCGGGCGGCAGGUGCGCCCUUGCCGCCCGGGGCCGGGGGCCGGUCCAGAGGCUGGAGAGACCGGCCAGGUCUGCGGAGAAGCAUCUUCCGGCUGCUUGCACAGGGUUCAGUUGAUGAAGCAGGAGCGGGAGGGAAGCCCGGCGGGGACCGGGCAAGCUCUCGUCGAGCCGGGGCUUCUUCUGGCUCGUGCGCCUCGCCAGGCACGAGCAGGGUUAAGUGUGUGCGGGGGGCGGAGAGGGAAUCCCAGACCGCCGGAACUGGAGACUUCCCAGCCGAGGGCGAGGCUGCUUCGAGAGGCAGCGCCGGCCACCCUGCGGCUUCCGCCGGCACCUGGGCGCGCGGAGUCGGGAGGACACGUCGACAGCCGCCCGCAGGACACGCGGCAGACGCGCCACGGCCGCCGCCAGGGUCUGCUGUGUGCUGAGCUCCGUGAUGUCUCUGUGCCGGGAGAUGGGAUCACAUCCAGGCCACCUAAGCUGUGCCUGCCCAGUGUCACAAACUCGUCAGGACUCACACAACCCAGGAUGGCAGUGAGUCAGCCCGGAUUCCGCACGCUCACCCACCCAAGCCGCACUGCCACUUAUCAAAGCAUUUUUGGAAUAGUUUAAAGCAUCCAUACCUCCUUCCUUUGGAUGUUCUUGCUGGUGACAAACCUUUAUCUUGCAAGAGUGGAUUCAAAUUUCAGGACAAAUGAAAGUGGCUGGAACAGAGACUCACUGGUGUCCUGGUCCUCUGUAAGUGAGGUUGGAAGGCUGCCUGGCGGCUCAGCAAGGGAGGAUUAAGUGAAUUAAGACACGUCGUCAGCAGGUCUGCAGGGCCCCUGCAAAGCAGACACCCGGUGGACAGAGGUGCUCUGGGGUGGAUGGGGGUUUAUGAGGCAACGGGCACGGUGGGCUCCCUGGGGAGAAAGCCCAUGGUCGUUUCAGCCCAGGGCUCCUGGGGAUCUGGGAGGUGGUGGUGUUGAAGGAGGGCACCUCCCUCUGUGUUCCUUCUCUCAGCAAACCUUGAUGGAGGGAGGUUGCUCUUCUGUGCUGGGUGGGCUUGGGGUACAGAGUGAAGAAGAAACAUGAGAUCUGCUUGAGUGCAUCAGCGUUUAUUUAAUAAAUCCCUAAUUGAUGGGUUUAGAUAGUUUGGGUUUUUUCCUACUACAAACCACGUGGCAGUGAGCAUCUUUAUUUAUCCAUCCUUGUGUAAACAUCUUAUUAAUGCCUUAGGAUCUACUUAACAUUCAGACAGGAAUCCAAGUAAUUACUACAAAGCUUGCUGCCCCAGCUUCCAUUCUGCUGACCCAGGGGUCCCCCACGCCUCUGCUCUGGGGGUCAGGCCUGAUGACUGCUAGGCUGAUAUGGCUUCAAGGAGGUGCAGGUGGUCAGGACUCCCUGCCCCCAUGGGAGGUAGAAGUCAGCUGACUGGGGCAGGGGCCAUGGGCAUUCCUCACGGCAGGGCUCCUGGGCAGCGUCCCCAUUUCUCCCCCUCUUUCACCUCCCAAAGCCUCCUUAUCCCGUCCAUAUCUGCUAAGGAAUUUCCCCGGCACCUCUGCUUGCCAGCCACUCUGGGGUUCCAGCCCAUUCCGAUGGCAUCUGGCUAGAAGAAUUUGAGUCGGGUCUGGUUGUGACAGUGACGCCCCCAGAGAGUUCACCCCAGGUGGUGUGGAGCUGGGAAGCCACCCCGAAGCCACCCCAGGGCCUGCUGUUGACAGGAGCUCCCUGCACAGCGUGGCACCACCUUGCCAGGGCACAGGGUCAGGCUCCCUUGGUGCAGGUCUGCAUGUCCCUGGUAAUCAGGAUGCCCACAACCCACGCACCUACAGCCACAUGUGUUGUAGGGUUGCUGGGGUAAAUGAUGGAGCCCUCCCAUGAAGCUCAAAGGAGUUGAGGAUUGAAAACUUUGCCCUUGGCCUGGGGACAUGAGGAAAAAUGUGACCAGAGCUGCCAACACCCUUUUACACAAGUUCAGUGCUGGAGAGAAACAGUUCACACAGAUUAGAAGGUGGAACUGUUAAACACUGUUGAGAGUCAGAGAACAUAGGCCUAUAAUUGUCUUCACAUAUUUGAACUCAAAUUCAG